CCCAGCACCGAGUACAGGAACAUGCGGUUCCGGAGAAAACCGAUCUCAACUAUCAGCUUGGUCUGCAGGAGGGGGAGGACACCUUGUCGGCUCAGCGCUUCCCACUGAGAACAGCCCGGGGUCCUGAAGGGCCGGGAGGGAGCAUAGCUGGGGGCUCACCUGAGAGCGGCAGGUCAAGGCGUUGAAGAGGUCAAAGAACACAAAGCAGGUGACCUUGCAUCCUGGGAGGUGACUUUGCUACAGCCACACCCACGGAGCAGAAGGUCCCUUCCCAGAAGAAGGGAGGGGAUGGAGACCCUCCCCGGCUCUGGUGUGGCUGCUCGGAAGGGAGGCAGAGCUCACUUCCCUCGACACCUCUGGGUCGGGCCUGGAGCCGCAGGUCCCGGAGCGGAGGAGGCUGCUGUUGGGUCCCUGUGCUCAGGACCGCUGUGCGAGUCCUGGAGGGCCUGGGUCCCCUUCCCCACCAGGGGUGCACACAGGCUGCAUGAGGUAGACAAUCCCCACCUUCCCUGGCAGGUGAGAAUUUGGGGAAAAACAAGGCCAUUCCUCUAGCGGGGGAGGCUCAGAAAA